AUGAACAAUUCCACAACAGAUUCAUUACAACUAAAAAUAAGCUUUAAAUAAUGCAUAGCACAUCUUUACUCAUAAGUGUCAUCAUCAGAGCCAUCAUCCCAUGUAGCUCUUUCCUCCGUUUCCUUUGAAACAUUUGCACAAUUUUGGCACCAACAAAAAUCAGUACAAGAAAGUCUUGCAGACACACGGGAACAUCUUCCAGUUUCACAUUUGCCUUGCUUGCAACUACAGUGGACUACCUGUAAAACACUUUCAGGUGCAGGAUUUCUAGUCAUCCAGGUCACUGUUAACUCCCCAUCCUCGAGGUGCCAUUCAUUGCCAAUGGGUGAAGGGGCACACAUUAUACCUUUCAGAGAAUGUCUCAUUAUGGCUGCUUGGUAGUUUGCCCUUUUGCAGUGUUGGUGGAAGGCAUCACUUGUCGGGGGCAUGGAUAGUUGUGGCAAAGCCGAUGAUGCCAUGCAGAAUGCUUUGUAACUUGCAUCAUUCACAUUUUUGGCAGAUGACUGGCCAUAGAGGUGGCACACAUAUUUGCAAAGUAUGUCAAAGGUAGACUGGUCCAGGUUAAAACUUUUACCCAGAUUUGUAAAUGCAUUUAGGUAUUCCUUUCUCACAAGCAACAGAAAAUGCUUUCUUUUGCCUUUGCCAUAAAAGGCACUUGUAGAGUCACAACCUGAAAAGGUAUGGAUCCCAAUAAGUGCGAAACACACACUAGUGCCAAGAGCUGAUGACACCUUAGCCAAAUCAACGAUCCUCGUUUUGUUGCCAACCCCUGUGAAAAGAUACAACCUACAUGGUAAAUCUGGCUGCAGACUUAAAGCAAUCACUGCCACAUCAGUAUCAGGGCUCUUGAUGACUACAGUUUGAUGUUCAUUAGCAGCAUGUUGUGUAUGUAAAAACAACCUGGUGUCACAUGUCAGAUCUUCAACAGCACUGAGAGUUUGUAUACAGUGCAUUACAGUCACACAGUGACACAGGUCUCCACGUGCGAUGUACAAGCUUAUGUUCUUGCCCACAGUGGUAAGAUCAGCAUCUCGCCACGCAAGAUAGAGGAAUUCUGCCAGUGCCCCUUUGCUUGUUCCAUAUGAUAGAAACUUUUUCCAUUGUGUUGGUGUCUUCUGAUCACAUCCAUAAAUUUUCACCAGCUGUGUACCACCAGCAGCUUUAUGUGAACGCUCUAGAUUUUUGAUACUCAUUUCCGGAUACUGGUCAAUCACAAAGUCUAUCCAUGUACAGUUGUGCUUCAAAGCAAGCUUGACUAUGUACUGCAGUAUGGUGUUGGCGAGCUCUCCAAAGGUACUUGGUAUGGACCGAAGGGCUUGAAUGACCGCCAUACCAUCAAAGAGAAUAGGGCCAUGUUCUGGAACUUUGUCAACUAAACAUUCUCCACCUUUUGUUUCCAAUAAAUCCAUGAGCUGAUUUGUUUGUUUUAGCAAGUGAACCAUCAGGACUGUCUAAAUAAUAUGACACAGUUCCCAAGGAAUAGGACAGAAUUUCCCACAGCUCUAUCUUUCUACUUUGACCUACCACAAGUAGUCUGGAGAAUAGCUUCUUGUCAGCAUGCAGCAUCACUUCCCUGCCGGGUGUCGGUGUCUUCUUUGUCUUUGCUUGGUCACUGAAGGUUUUCAGUUUUUGUGUUUUGAUGGUAGCAAAUACAUCAACUGAUUGUGAUAUCAGUCUUUGGUCCAUAAACUCUCUGACAGCAUUUUCCAUGUUGAGACAAUAUCCAGCGAUAUACAGCUGCUCGAUUUUGUGUCAUCCCUGUCCAACCACCCUUUGUCUUGGAAUCUCUGUUGCAUGUUUUUUCAAUGGCCUGGUCACAAGCAAUUGAGGCAAAUCCAUGGAUACUUUGACGUUGGACAGUAAACUGGCCUUUAACAGUAAGCUCACUGUGGCAACAAGGAUGUGUGUGAGGCAACCUGACCAUUUCCAGCCAGUAUGAAGGUAAAUACCUAGCAUAAUUUACACGAUCAUAAGCAAAAAACCAUGGCAUCUUCAAGCGCAUUGUUGACAGCUGAAGCUGCCAGUCCGAUUCUCAUGUUGCUCUCACAAACAAAAGGAGUAUUGUAACAGGUUUACCAGUUACCUGGUUUUCCUACUCUCCACUAGGGGGCAGCUGAGGUCAGAAACCCCAAGUAUUUAACCAGGUAGUAGAGUAGAAGAAGGGAGAUUUGUUUGCAAGAGGGAAGCAUGGUUUUGCUCUAGUUCCUUUUGAAUUAUUGCUUUUGGAGUCCUGAUUGAGAAACUUUGUUUCCAGUUCAAUUUUAUGGACUUUUUGUAUGCUACUAUACAUUCUGUUGGGAUCUACAUGAAUUGUAAAAGCUCUACUUUCAUGGACCACAAGAACAUUUCCCAAUGAAGCGCUAGUGGUGCUUUUGUGUUGAGGAUGAUCGAUACCACGAGUACAAGGAUCUGAGUUUGUGGGCUGUUAAAUGUGGAUUACUUGAACAUUUGCAUGUGUAGGGUUUUCAUCAUCAAUAUGAAACACUGACUGACUGGUGUAACCAUCCUCUGUUGCCAAUAUUCAAAGAGUUGUUUGUCUAUAACUUUGAACUCUCAUGUUCCUUUGUUGUGUUUGAUUUUGCUUUUUUUUUUUUGGUCAUAAUCAUUCUUGUCUGAAACCUGAUAUUAUAAAAGGAUUUAAAAACCUAAA